CACUAGGUCCCAGGCACAUUGCCAAGUGGCUUACAUAUUGUCUUCUCCUAUGAUAAGUAUUUUUAGUCCUUCUUUCAUAGAUGAGUAAAUUAAGGUACAGAGAUGACAAAUAAUUGGCCCAAAUCCAAUAGCCAAGAAGUCACAAAAUCAAGAUUCACAACAGUUCCCUUUGGGUCUGAUCCUAGAGUUGUACCCUUCCCCAUUCCAUGGCAUUAGGGAGGCGGAAGGGAACUCCCUUUCUGCUUCCUGGAAUCCAGGCUGGCUUGGUGACUUGCCGACCACAGAACGCUGUGGAAGGGACAUUCUGGGGCUUCCCAUCUCCAACAUAAGAAGGCAGGACUUGCUUCUGUGAGGUACUGAGCCACCCGUCCCUGGAGGAAAGCAAGAACAGAGCAGAUCAGAGCCCAGGCAGACAUCUUGGAUGAUGGGGUACAUCUUGCCAUCCAGAGGCAAUGCUGGAGCGGGCAGUUGUCUGCGGGGAGGCCCUGGCUCACUCUGGGCCAAAUAACAGGACUGAUUGCAGCCUGCGAUGAAACAUCCUGUUUCUCCCAACCAGAAACAGGUAGAGAAGUCAGCAUUUUACAUGAUUCUGGGAGGGAAGAAAGGAGACAGGAACCAAGGAGCCUGAGUGGGGAUUUGCCCACCACUGGGCAGCCAGGCUCCCGUCAGGAAGGCUUUUCAGAGGGAGUGUUGGAAGGAGUCGUCGAGGAGUCUUCCUCACCCAGGAAGUCUUCCUCACCGGGUGAGCCCCAACCUGCUGGACCUGCUCAGAAUUUGCCCAACAGGGGAUCCUGGUUGACUGAGGUCUGCUAAUUCCAACUGGCCUACGCUAAAUUCUCCCAGAAUGUCUUCAUCAUCAAUGAAUCGCUUUCCACUGACACGACGCCUGGAAGAACAUAAACACUGUGAGGAUAAAUGCCAAUGAAAUAAUAAUAAAAUAAACUUUCUUUGGUGGCCAGAGGGAAACAGAA
rnacentral:lncRNA from 1 species